GGAGGCGCCUGCCCGCUGCCCCCGCCCCCGCGGCGGAGCCCGCUGUGAGGGGGCUGCCCGGCAGCCGCUCCCGGGGGCUGGGCUCGGGUUGUUGAUCGCCCGAGUCGGGCUUGAGGCGAGGGAGAAGUUGCUUUUCAGGGGUUUUCGUCUGAGUUCCCGAGGAAGGAUCCGGACAAGGCUGAUCUUUCUUGGCCCACGGGUGCCUUCAGCCCUGGUCCACUCCCUCUAUGUCGACAUUCCUCGCCUCAUCCUCCAUGGAAAACAAAACCGUGUGAUGAGCCACGGGCUUUCCUUAGAGUAUCACGGAAGGCAGCUGCCUUCGUGUGGGUAGCACCUUUUUUUUUGACCAAGAUGUGCCCAUCACCGUGGUACGUGGUCUGCCAGCAACCCAGACUGUACAUUAAACAGGAUACGUUUUGGCAUAACUGUAGACUCGGUAGUCUUAAAUCUGAAGAUUGAACCUUUAUUAGCGCCCUCCCCCCCCUUUCUUUUUGGGGGGGGGGGGGGGGGGUUCCCCCUGUUUUUUGGUUUGGGUUUGGUUGGUUUUUUUUUGGUUGGUUUUUUAAGUUAAACUGCUGAAAGAUGUCUGCUGCCUUAAAUCCCCUUUCCAUACUGCAGAGGAUAUCCGUGGCUGGGGUGGCUGCUCUUAGUGGCCCCAGCCCUCCUGCUGCUCGAGGCUGGCCAAGUAACACUCAGAUAUUAACAAAUGUGGGUUGAUGAAAUCUGCCUUCCACAACAGAGAGAGCCCGCUAGGCCUGUCCUGUGCUUCCCAAGGUGACAGUUUUGUUCUAGAUUCCAUUAGUAUUGCCUGUGCCUAAAUAAAUACUUUUUGGACUAGAACAUUUUGCAGUUACAUCCCAAAAGAAUAGUAAAGAUUUUAUGCAUGGUUUUUGUUUUGAAAUCUAUUUGUUCAUUUUGUUAAUGCUGAUGCUGGCUCAUAGUCUCAGAGCCUGUCUGAUGUCAGGGCUUUUCUGUUCCAAAAGGCUUUGAAUUGGAGAGCCCUCACAUUAAGAGAAAUUUGUUACCUGCCUAAUACCAAAGUAAUAUAUUGGAAGUGUGCCUUAUCAUACUUCCCUGUUUUCAUCAUGGGAGAUGUUGGGGGUGUGGCUGGGAUUCAUCUCACCUAAUACCUACACUGUAAACACUUGUAUGGUAUGGUUCAUCUUCAGGUGGGUGUCAAGUGUCCCAGGUGGACUGCUCCCUCCAGUCUUUGUUGACUGGAAACGGGAGCCUGUGGCCACAGCUGUAUAAGGUUAGAGAAAACAUAGCCUGUCUUAAGUUCCCUAAUUAAAUUAGUCAGUAUCUCAGUGAUAGCUCUGUUAUGAAUGUAUUGUGAUGUUGGCUUUUCACAUGUUAUAUAAUUGUUAUGAAUGUAUUGUGAUGUUGGCUUUUUGCAUGUUCCUUAAUGUUAGAAAAACUUCACCUAGGUUCUGUAAUGUAACACAUGAUGUAGAAUGUCUAUCGUUUAUAUAGUCAAUUUAGAAAAGCUAGGCAGAGAAAGUCUUCACAUUCCUGGAGUAUUUAUAAGAGAAGAGGAAAAAACAGAAACCAGAGAGAGAAGAAUUUAUGGAGGGAGCAGAGACGGAAUAGAGCCAAGGAAGAAGACAAGUCUGAUGAGAUGAUACAUAGAAACUCUAAAGAAUUUGUGAAUCAUGCAUGAUUGUGAUGAAUAUGCAAUAAGAGAUGUACUUUUAAAGAUGAUCUUUUGGAUGUAGAGGUGUGCCUUUGCCUCUGCCGAAGCACCCGGCCAUAAUACUUUUUUGCUGUUGUCUCCUAAAUAUCUCUUUCAUUAAAUUUUUCCUAAAAUUUUACUAAGAGUGAACCUUGUUUUUCACAGCUCUAAGUAAUCUUAGUUUUUAAUUUUUUAUUCUUUCAAUUCUAUAUCUGGGAUAAUGCUUUUGUGAAGUGUAACGCUAGAACAUGUACUAUGACCUGCCUGUCAUGUUGGCAAUGCUCAGGUACUUCUUUGUAAAACCCCAACAAUGCAGCGAGGCUGAACCAUUCCAGUAUGUCUUACUGGGUAUACUAAGAGUAAUCCAGGAAACUAUUUUUACCUUGUCCCACAAAGGAAAGAGAAGAAUGAAGGAAUUGAUAUAUUAAUGAAUUUCAAGGCUUUAGCUUAUACAUUAUUUGAUGACUUGUGAUGAGAUCAGCUAGCAGUGGGACUUAUUUUGUGUCUAAAACUUCUUUAUGUCUUUUAAAUUUGUCUAAAUUAACAUUCCAGUCACUGGAUUUUACUACAUCUUUUCACAGACCGACUGGCACCUAUUCUUGGAUAUCUUUUGCAUUUGCAGGUACCAGUAUGCACAUCAUCUGUGAAAUUUCUCUUCAGCAAACUAGAUAUGCCAAACCCCGUAAAACACCGACCACAAUGCUAACGUCUCAGCAUCUACAUCACUUUCUGUGACACACCUACGAAAAUUGAAGUAUUUUGAUGUUGUAAACAGAGACACAAAAUUAGCAAGCAAAUUUUAGUGUUAUAGUAUUAGAUAUGCAGAGGUGCAGAACGGUACAGUUAGCUAUAGUGAAAUUAUUAUGUUUGACUGCAAGGCAAAUCAAUGGAUCUGUAACAGGAAAGUACUGCCAACCUUUAAUAAAGCCAUCUGUUAACAGCAA